rnacentral:rRNA from 1 species
GACGAACGCUGGCGGCGUGCUUAAUACAUGCAUGUCGAACGGAAAGGCCCUGCUUUUUUUGCGUGCUCGAUUGGCUAACGUUUAGGUAACACGUGAGUAGCCUGCUUUUGACUUUGGGAUAAUUUCUGGAAACUUUGUCUAAUACCGGAUAUGUGCAUCUUCUGCAUCUUGGGAGUUGCCAAGUUUCUGCGGUUUGGGAUGGACUCGCGGCUUAUCAGUUUGUUGGUGGGGUAGUGUCUUACCAAGGCUUUGACGGGUAGCCGGCCUGAGAGGGUAUCCGGCCACAUUGGGACUGAGAUAAGACCCAGAAUCCUGCGGGAGGCAGCAGUGGGGAAUAUUGCACAAUGGGCGGAAGCCUGAUGCAGCAACGCCGCGAGGGAGAUGACAGCCUUCGGGUUGUAAACCGCUUUCGCAUGUGACGAAGCGUGGGUGACGGUAAUGGGUAAAGAAGCACCGGCUAACUACGUG